GGGACAGCUUAGUACUCUGCAGCAAGGAACUGCCCAGAGCAGGUAGAGCUGAGUUACUGGCUCAAUAAGCCACUACACAAAAGAAGAUAGAAUCUGAAGGCAGAAGUAAAAGAACAACUACAGUUUCCCAUGAGGUUCUUCUGGGAGAUGGUGUGCUUCACACAAUGUCUGGAAGAGCAUUGGGAAGGUGUCCAAGUUGGAAUUUGUCCCUGGAUAUUGUGGAAGUUACUAGAAAAUGAUGCCUUCUUUGAUGUGGCCAGCUCUGUUUUCCAUCCCCUGGUGUCUGCAGCGAUGCUGAGUUCUGCAGAGGAGCCAUGCCACAGGCACGAUAGAUCUCUGAUGGUCUUUCUGGCAAGAUCUGGUUUCAGUUUUUCUUCUGUUCAAAUAUUAAGUUGUCUGUAUCACAGAGACAGCGAGGAUGUCAGCCAAGAUUACUGCCUUAGUACGCAAGAUGCUACACAAGGAUAUUGCUGGAAAUCACAUCCUAACUAAAGUGCUGAAUAUUCUGUUGUAUUAAUCAGUGUCACCUCUGCAGUGCCCACUUGGGCGUCAGCAAAAAAUGAAUGGCCAAAGCAGCACUAGAGGAUUUUAAUCAAAGUCUGUGAAGCAUAGUAAUGGACUAAUUUGUUACACACACAAAAUGCAAAACCAUAGAAAUGUGUUCCUCCUCUUUUUACCCCAGAAGGGUUUUUGUGUGUGAGCUCUUAUUAAUAUUCUCUUCACUGUCAAAUAUCAAAUAGAAAGGUUAUGCACCUUUGCCGGAUAAUGUUGAAAUGUCACAAAUGUUUGCACUGCUGUCCUGAAUCAGAGAUGCUCCUUGCAGUCAUCUAGCCCAUUUGUAUGUAAAGCACAGCUGUACUUUGAAACUGAGGAAAUAACAAACCCAAAUUCGAGGCCAACUCUGUCCCUCUGCCUUUGGAUCAUGCUGUCAUUUCUCACCUGAGAAAUUAGACGUGGAGGUUAAUGAAUACCUCUCCUCCCCAAUCAGAUACCAGUAUGGCAGAGACAUUAAGGAGAAGAUAGGAAGGCUGCACUUAUAGCAGUGUGUUUAAUCACUACAGUAACUUCUGAGCCAUCAGUCUUUGAAAGAAAUUCAGGCACCCACCCUAGUGGGGCAUGUGACAACCGUGAACAUGCCACCAUAGUUUAGGGCACUUAGCAAAGGUAUUGUUACU